CACGCUGUAAACGAUGAGUGCUAGAUGUUGGUGAAGGAAUUCAUCAGUGUCGCAGCUAACGCAUUAAGCACUCCGCCUGGGGAGUACGGUCGCAAGAUUAAAACUCAAAGGAAUUGACGGGGGCCCGCACAAGCGGUGGAGUAUGUGGUUUAAUUCGAAGCAACGCGAAAAACCUUACCAGCUCUUGACAUGUUGAUUAUGGAGAUCAGAGAUGAUUUCCUUCGGUUCGGCCGGGUCAAACACAGGUGC
rnacentral:rRNA from 1 species